ensembl:lncRNA
GUGGCCCCUACAUUCGCAGAGGAAAUCAUGCAGUUGCUGAGGCUUCGUCCCGUGUCACCAGUGUCUGCUGAGAGCGCUGAGGACUGUCCUGCUCAGGCUGCUGGAGACUCAGAGGUGAAAUCACCACUUCCGGGUCAGCUGAUGCUCCCGCCCCUGAGCCUCUCAGGAGGCUCCACCCAGAGGACGCAGAGCAGUGACGUCAAUGAUGGACCCGUAUGUUGUCGCUGCUGGUGCCCAGGCGAGGCAGUGUGGAAGGCCUUUUUGUCUAGGGCUUUGCUGAGACCACCUCUGCGCUUGGUAAAAACCAUGAACAAUCACAGGUCCUGUGUGUAGGUGUUUUUGGUGUCUGGUAUGUUUGCGCCCUUCACCACUGAAGCAUUCUUUGCAUUUAUGGAAUGAUCUUCAAUUUCACUUCAGGGAGCAAUGCACCUUAAUGGCUUUCUACUGCUGCAGUAUCCUUUAUGGUAAGUCAGGUCUUCUAAGGAUUUACACGUACCUGCUAUAUUUCCAAAAGGACUGGCGUAAGUAAUCAAAACUAAUCCUUAAAACAUAUUUGCCCUUUCUUGAACACGUGAAUUCUGAUAUCAUUUAGGUCUUCCUACUGGGCCAGUGGUCCUGCCCCACUGAAGGUUGGUCACGUUGCUAUUCUCUGUGAGGAACUGACUCCUGACCUUGUUCUGACUUUCCACUGGGGGGCUGUUUGCUCUGAUUCUGUGCUUACCUGUAUCAGCUCCAUUUUUCCUUUCUUAAGUUGGCCAUUCCAUCGUGCAUUUUUCCUGAUGGGAUUGUUUCCAGUAAGUGGUUACCACAAAGUACUUUGGUUUUGAACGUGAGAAAUCAGUCUUUUUCUGUUUGCUUACUCUUUUACUGAUGACUCAUUAUGAUUGCAUAAGAUAAUUGUCCUGUUGAAUUAGACCCUGGAACUUCACUGAUACUCAUGUCCCUGCUUGCUGUAUGGCUGCGUUUGCCCCGUGGUUCAUGCUGUGUCUGAGAAGGAAAGACGGGUAAAACACAGAGGCUCUUUGUGUUCUGUUCUUAGCAGUUAGAUGGAGGAUGUGAAUUGACUUGCUUAAAUUUUUUGCCCCUGGACUGACAUUUUGUCUGCUGGGCUGGUUUUGAUAAUUACUAAAACAUCUUGGUUAGAAUCUCUCACUGUAAUGUUUGAGUUCCUGCAUCUUCCUGUUAUUUUAUAUGUGUUUAGCAUUAUAGAUAAUGAUUCUAUGUUUAUUUGUAUGUACUCAUUUAAAGCUUAAAUAUGCCAACAUGGCCUUUUAUAUACUCAGUUAUUGUCCUCCCUAAGUUUGACUUGUCUGAUCUGACUGAAGGGGCACCUGCUCUCUCUCUCGGUAGUUUACAGAGUGGGCAUCUUCUAUGAAAACGGUUUUGCAUUUUUUUAUGUUGUUUUUUGGAUGCAUGUGGGGCUGGAAGCCUGGUUUCCUGGUCUUUAUGUGGUUACUCAGGCUCUCUUUCUGUUGCCAUUUGCUUGAUACAUCUUUCCCAUCCUCUUCCUUUUGACGUAUGCAUGUUUUGUAUUUAACAUACAAGUCUGUUAGAAAACGUACGCCUGGCAUAGUGUGCUUUUUCAUUCAGCUUUAUUGAAGUGUAAAUAAAGUGAAAACAUAUAUAUUUAACGUGUACA